CCUACGGGUGGCUGCAGUGGGGGAUAUUGCACAAUGGGGGCAACCCUGAUCCAGCGACGCCGCGUGGGUGAAGGAGCGCUUCGGCGCUUAAAGCCCCAUCUGCAGGGAAGCAGAUGACGGUACCUGACCAAUAAUCCCCGGGUAACUACGGGCCAGCAGCCGGGGUAAAAAGUCGGGGGCAAGCGUUAUCCGGAAUUGAUGGGUGUUAAGGGGGCUUAUGGGGGAAUGCAAGGCAGGAGGGAAAGCCCGGGGGCCAACCCCCGGCCUGCUGUUGGAACUGGAUGGCUGGAGUGAAGGAGGGGCAGGCGGAAUUCGUAGUGUAGCGGUGAAAUGCGUAGAUAUUAGGAGGAACACCGGUGGCGAAGGCGGCAUGCUGGACUGUGACUGACGUUGAGGCACGAAGGCGUGGGGAGCGAACAGGAUUAGAUACCCGAGUAGUC
rnacentral:rRNA from 1 species